CCAGUUUGCUUUGGAAUUAUCCUCCAGACCUCUCCCCCAGUGCCCAGCCCAGAAAGGGACCAACCCCACCCAGGGGAGCUGUUCCUUUGAGAAGCAGGACCCACCUCCCCAGCCAGAGCAGGGAUCAGACAACUCUUGGAGGCUCAUCACACAGGCAGCCAGAGAGAGGAUGGAUUUCUGCCACAGCCCUGUGACUUCUUCCGAGCUGAAUUUCUCCUGCCAACUGCACCCUCCACCCUGCGGGGGCCACGGGCCCCCCAAACCCAGGCCUGCCCUCAUCUGACCAAAGGCAACCAGAUCUGCUGCAGCUGUUCAGGGAGAGAACAAGCUCUCCCAGAGACCGUGGAAGUGGCUAGGGAAAGAUUCCUGCCAGCCUGGGGGUGUAAAUAUUUAUACAACGUGUAGCAGGAACGUUGGACAUUGAUGAAGAUGAUGAGGAACGGAGGGGACCUGGCAGGCGAGCAAGGCAUGGAGAAGGCGAGGGAGCCCUUGGUGGCACUUGCGGGGCAGCACGCGGCCGCCAUCACCACAGGGCCCAGGAGAAGACGGAGCAGCCCGAUGGACACCCAGCUGGUGCUCUUGGGCCCCGGCACCCCGGGGAUGCAGCGCAGCCCCGGGUGCGCAUCGACCCAGCCGCUCCUCAUCUAGGCCCACCCAGAGCUCAGCCAGGCCCCAGUGGCACCGACGUCCCAGGGUGGGAGGCAGGCGGGGGUCGGGGGGGGGGGGGGGGGGGGGACAGCCAGAUGGACUCCAGUCGAUCUGCCUCAGACAGCUGGGGAGCAGAGCCAGGACGCGCCUCUCCCCCCGCCCCCGUCACUCCACACAGGAGGGGCGCGGCGGCGACUUCUAGGGUUUCUCUGCCACUGCACCCUUCGAGAAGUGCCACCUGCUUCUAUCAGUAUGGGGCUGACCCUCAGGGCCUCCCACAGGUGGGCUCUGUGUUGCUCCUCAGUGGCCACCUUUAAGUCACCUUGAAAUGAUCAGCCACCACCUGCAUUCUCCUUGUGCCCUAACAACACCCGCUGGCUGGGCUGGGGGCGUUGGGAGGGAAGGGCCUUCUGCCGGGAAAACGCCUCAGGUCUUCAGCCAGAGAGCGACUCUCAGAGGACACCAAGACUCCCCCAGGAGGCAGCCCCCUAAGGCUGCAAGUCCUCCCACCCACAGCCCAGAGCUUUGCGAGGAAUACAUUCCCAGGGCACGCACCUCCCCUGAGCGCCGGCCUUUACGGUGGAAGCUGGUGAAUCCCCCACCUGUGCACUCAGAGAAGGAAGGAUUCCACCGCCUCCCUGAGCGGUGGGGCCCAGGCCCACACACCGUGGAGGAAACACCAUCUGCCCCGGCCCUCAGCCCUGGCCUGGCAGCUGAUGUGAGCCCUUGAGCUGGGGGAAGAGGAGCCCUGUCCCCCAGCCGCCGCCGCCGCCCCCCCCCCCCCCCCGGAGGGGACUCCUCUUCCAGAGACACCACUGCGGGAAAAUCUUCAGAUGCUCAGGUCCUCUUCCGCCACCACGGCUCUGUCUGCCGGCUGUGGCCUCCUCCUUGCCAGCUCUGCUGAAACAGAUGAGCAAGACUAAAAGCCUGUGUGGCCCAAGGAAAGCUUGAGGGGAGGGAACUGACGCUGAAGGAAAAGGAGAGGAAGAACUACAAGAAACAGGAGAGGAGGGGAAUUCAGGAAACGGACAAAAUAAACCAUCCGGGAAUCCAGAUGUAAAACAAGGAAGGCCAAAAGAAAAAUUAUGCUAAGAAGGCAGAGUCGGGUGGGGAAGGGAAUUGAGAAUGAAAAAGAAGAUGAGGGCAGUUAUAAAUAUUCCGGAAAGAGAAGAAUGUGAAAGCAAACAACACCAGAAAAAAAAAAAAAAAAAUAGAUAACCCAGGAGGGAGAGAGGCAGCAAUGAGUUUAAAACUGCUUUGACCUUCAACCAACCGCACUCAGUAAUGUUCUGAGUCUUGGUGCAUUUUGUGGAUUUCAGACUCUUCUAACACUGAGCAGAGGACAGUCCUAGAAAAGCAAGCUUUCCUGCAUGCCCUUGUUUUUCCUACAAUUCCGCAGCUCAGCGCCACCAUUGGUCUUUUUCACGGGGAAAGCUCAUCUUCCCGGGGCAAGGCCAAAAACCAUUCCAGUUCGCCCCAGAGUCUGGUGGCUUCCAUCAUGGUGCCCUCUGGAGGGCCCACGGGGAGAUCGGAGCAAGAGCAGCUCUGUGACGGGGAAGCACUGGGGAGCGAUGCAGCUGUACCAUCCGCUUUUCAUCUUCUAGGGCGGGCUUUUCCCAGCCACCUUGCUGGGGACCAAGGCUAACCCAGCCCUCAGACACAGCGGGGGUGGGCAUACCCAACUCUGUGCAGAGCCAGAGGGGUCCCAGCAAAUGCAACUUUUGGAAACAACUUAGAUGAUUUAAAUUUGUUUCCAGGCAUUCCCAACUGGGACCUAAAGAUAGCUACAGUUUUCUCAUUGCUGCAAACAGCUUAGUUUCUUGAAGUUCACCGUCAAUGCCUCCUAUCCAUAAACCCCAUGAACACUUGCAGAAGACCCUGGGUCCUCUCCCUUUGUCGGCUGGGCCUUUCAGCCUUCUGUUGCCCCUCUUUUCCUCUGUGAGUCAGCCAGUGUCUCUCGUCUGUGUCUGCCCAGGUCGUUCAUUUCCCUUACUUAAUCACACCCACUUCUGCCCACUCGACCGUUUCUCUAGGGCAGCAGGCCUGGGGGAGACAGCUGAACCAGACCAAGGCAAAAUCAAGAAGCAAAGGAAGUAAAAACGUGAGUUUGGUUUAGCGCCCCGCGUUGGCAUGUCCAGGCCGUCUGCAGCGGGUGAGGAGGCUUGCCGGUGGACAGGGCUCUGAGCCUCCCCAGGCCACCUAAAACUGCUCCCCCAAAGUUCAGCCAAGGGGAAGGCACACAAGCUGAGCUCUGAUUGGCUGGGACAAAGGAAACAGUGCCCACACCGGCCCUUGUCCCCAAGAAUUCUUAAAUACUUGACCCCGGUUCUCUACAUUCCAAAAGUCACAUUUUUCUUCUAUCAAAAAUGGAAAGAUGUGGCCAAACGUACAGCAGGGAUCACGUCUAGGUGGUAGCCUUGGAUACUCAACCCGGUUUCUACUCCUCCCUCCUCACCUUCCAACCUGCCACAGUCGUAUAAUCUAUGACUCAAACUAUUAUUUAACCAUGAAAAAAGACAAACCAGGAAAUUAGAGGCUGAAUGACCUAAAAUUUAUUCCAUUCAACUGAGCUAAUCUCCUAAUAAGGGUGUGUAUAAUAAUAAGUCAUGCUAUAUCUGUUCCGGAAGAUGUGAACAUCGCAGGGAAAAGUGCACGGUGAUUGAAGAUCCCAACCUGUUGAGAUUUGUCCUCAAAAGGCUAAGUGCCUGGUCCUGGGCCACGCUGCCGAGCAGUUUGCCAAACGAGUCUUAACAUUUGGGAACCAAUGGAGAGUAGCCCAUGUUCAAGGCUGACCGCAGUCAAAUCCCGGCACUGCCACCGCCCAGGCAAGCAAGGGACUUACCUGCCUCCUCUAGUCUCCUCCGCUAUGAAAUGGCCGUGAGAGCAACCCCCAUCUCCUGGGCCUGCGGCCGCGAGGACAGAUGAACAAGGCGCUUGGCACAUGUGAGCAGCCCCCCCUCCCUAAAAGCACCCCCAGUCAACUGUUGCUGUGUGUUCAGCAGCGAAUUGGCAAGACCAAGAAGGAGGCUGGAGGCCCCACAAAGUGGGGUUCCACGGAGUCACUGGAACACAGUCAAGUAUCCCGAGCAAGAGAGAGGAGAGGGUCCCAGAGGAGGCCCAGGCAGCUGGCGGGUGGAGCACUGCGCGGAGAGCCAAGGACAGCCACUCACAGCGUGGGCGGGAGGACGCAGGGGGCUGCGCUCCAGUCCUCCCGCAUUAGCUCAACUCGGCUGCAUCCCCACCCUUGCAUGUGUUCAUCCUUCCGUGAACCCCAGCACGUAGUUACCUAGCACCCCCUAUGUGCGCAGCACCGGCCAGGCCAAGGGCGGUAGGGGGAGCCAGCUUACGCAGGGAUCACAAGCCUCCGAGACUUAAUAACCGGGCAUUUCUGUCCAAAUUCAGAGAUCUGUCCUUUUAGGAGCUAGACUGUAAGGAUAUGACCAAAUGCUGAGAAAUUCUUAUUUCAGGGCCAAUUUUCCUUCUUAAAGUAGAAAGGCAAAGAGUUCAAAAAUGUUCUGGAAAUGUGAACACUCACAGAAUCUUGUUAACAUUUAAGGGGUAUUGUUAGUUUUUAGGUGACACAAAGACCGUGUGGCUAAGUUUAACAAGCCCCCCCCUUUUUUUAGAGAUGCAUACUGAAAUACUGGCAGAUGAAAUGUUAUGCCCUGAUAUAUAGGAUUUACUUCAGUAUUAUAUGGGAGGUGGGGAGGCAGAUGGUGGUGUCACUGGACAAGCUUGGCCAGCAGUUGGUGAUGUUGGUGAUGGGUAUACACGGCGAUUCAUCACACUCCUCUGUCUCCUCCAGUAUAUGUUUGAAAUUUUCCAUAAUAAAAUGCCUUAAGUUCAUAAAGGCUGAAACGUUUUUAA